ensembl:ncRNA lncRNA:CR46349 long non-coding RNA:CR46349
CCCGUCGACGACUCAAGUGCAGGGAUUUGCUCCGUGGACGGCAGUCCGUCGUCCAUCGCCCAGCUAAGAUCGCUGAAGAUUCGGAUCCAGAUGCCAGAAUUCACCUGCAUUGAUUGCGAUCCAGGCUAGCAAAUCCAUUAGCGCCAUCUGACGCAUUUGCCAGCAGGUGAUUCAGGUCACAUCCACAUCCACAUUCACAUCCGCCUGCCGAUCGCAACGAGAAUCGGCGAAUCCAUCAUGUGCCGCCGUCAUCAAUCCAUCAAUCACCACUGCAACCGAAAAUUCACAGCUGGUUGGUUUAGUGCGCGAAUGUGUGCCUUUUUUUUUGCAGUUCAGUGAUUAAGAUACUCCAAAGUCAACAAAUAACAUUAAGCAAUGGGAUAUUGAAUGGAGCUAUGUUUAGGGAUUGAUUUUUUAUUUCUAAGAGUUCAUGUUACUUAGCUCAGCCAAGGCUAUAAUGAUCGCAAU